ACGAACUUUGGCUGAAGGCGGGGUCAGCGAGUACGCUGAAUCAUGACGCCACCGCUGCAGAAUCCAUGACGAUCACGUGCAGUGACGGGACGGACCAAAUCACCAGCAGUUACAAGGUGGACUUUUCGGACGCGGCCCCCGUUCUAACCAAUUUUGCCGGUACUUCCGGUCCGCUGGGUGACCUAUCGCCAGUGGGCACUUCCGUACAUCAGUUCACCGUUACCGACCAGGAUGACGCUAUUUCCUGUUCCAUCAACGCGCCGGAGAUUGCAAAGUUUGGCAUCACCAAGGUGGAUACCGCUACCGGAGCUCAACGGUUCGACGUCAAGACGAUUGCCCUGCUUGAUUACGACUCUGCUACGAGUUAAACGAUCACCGUCACGUGCACUGAUGCUAUCAACAGUGUGACGUCAUCAAGGACCAUCAAUAUAGCCGAUGACAAACCGGUUUUUACCGGACUUCCCGCUACGCUGUCGCCGGCGCGUGCCGACGGAUUGCUGACGGGGCGUCACUUCGCACGUUCAGCGUCACGGACGCCAACGACCAGCGUUUCAUAACUUGCUCAAUUUAGGCGCCACAGGACAGCUUCUUCAACGUGGUUCCUGGCACGGCGCCGACAUUUGCCAUCUGGGUGAAAGGCGGCGUGAAGUUGGACGCGGCGACGUCACCUCUCCUCGUUAACGUUCAGUGCGUUGAUGACAGAUCGCCGGCGAAUAUCAUAACCGAAACGUUCACGGUUCCCUUACUU